rnacentral:miRNA from 1 species
GAACAAGGCGUCACACAAAGGA